CGGCGAGUGAAGCGGCAACAGCUCAAAUUUGAAAUCUGGCCUUUUGGCCCGAGUUGUAAUUUGGAGAGGAUGCUUUUGGUGCGGUGCCUUCCGAGUUCCUUGGAACAGGACGCCAGAGAGGGUGAGAGCCCCGUACGGUUGGACACCAAGCCUUUGAAUAGCUCCUUCGACGAGUCGAGUAGUUUGGGAAUGCUGCUCAAAAUGGGAGGUAAAUUUCUUCUAAAGCUAAAUACCGGCCAGAGACCGAUAGCGCACAAGUAGAGUGAUCGAAAGAUGAAAAGCACUUUGAAAAGAGGGUUAAACAGUACGUGAAAUUGUUGAAAGGGAAGCGCCUGUGACCAGACUUGUGCCCUGUAAACCAUCCGGCGUUUUCGCCGGUGCACUUUACAGGGUGCAGGCCAGCAUCGGUUUUCCUAGGGGGAUAAAGGCCGCGGGAAUGUAGCUCUUUCGGGAGUAUUAUAGCCCGUGGUGUCAUGCCCUUGGGGGGACCGAGGACCGCGCUUCGGCAAGGAUGCUGGCGUAAUGGUCACCAGCGACCCGUCUUGAAACACGGACCAAGGAGUCAAGCAUUAGGGCGAGUGUUUGGGUGUCAAACCCGCACGCGAAAUGAAAGUAAACGCAGGUGAGAGCUUCGGCGCAUCAUCGACCGAUCCUGAUGUAUUCGGAUGGAUUUGAGUAAGAGCCUUACCGCUUGGACCCGAAAGAUGGUGAACUAUGCCUGUAUAGGGUGAAGCCAGAGGAAACUCUGGUGGAGGCUCGCAGCGGUUCUGACGUGCAAAUCGAUCGUCAAAUAUGGGCAUGGGGGCGAAAGACUAAUCGAACCAUCUAGUAGCU
rnacentral:rRNA from 1 species